UACACUUUUAUAAUUACAAUAUAUUCUUAUUACCAUUUCUUCAUGCAGAACCCACUACUCAGCAAUUGUAUGUGGUCUAAAAGGCAGCUGUGUAGUUGCCGAUGGUCAGUUCCAGUUCAGAGGAAUCACGUCCGUCUUGCAGGAACUUCAUUGGUUGCCAAAACUUUGAAGCCAAAUCUUUCCAUCCUUGUGCCAUCCUUCUUGCAGGAUGAACCACUGAAGCAUGAUAUUCCUCUGCUCUGCACCCUUUUCAAUGUUAACCCUAAUUCAAAUACCAUCAUUUGGAAUAUUAAUGGAAAAAUAUAUCAGGAUAAGAUGGAUGCUGACAUGAUAGAUGGGAAAGGAGCUUUCAGUAUUUGGAGCUUGAAACUGAUUCCUCCAGAGGAUUGGCAGCCAGAAAUGUCUUAUGCUUGUUCAUACCAGGUGCUGCAGUCUUCACAACAGGAAGUGUCCUCAAACAGGAAGAUUCACAGAUCAAAGAAGCAGAACUAAGUGGGAGAAGGUUAAAUGUGGCUUAAAAGGAUUGAGAGUUUUGCAUAAUAAACAGAAGAUGGAAAGACUCACAAAGAAGAAAGUGAAUGACAGAAUUUAAAGGUUCAACAUGAAGAACAGAAGUGCUUGUGAGAAAAGAAUAUUUUGGAAAAGGAUGUGUUUAAAAGAAAUGUUAAUGUUUAAGAAAUAUACUUGAAAUAAAUUGAAAGGAAUUGAAAAGAUGCUUAGAUGGAAAGUAAUAGUAGUUAAAAUCUGGAAAAGGUUAUUUUCAAAAGAAAUAUUAAUAAUUAAGAAAUAUAUUUGAAAUAAAUUGAAAUGAAUUGAGAAGAUGUAUAGAAUGAAAAUAAUAUUAAUGAUUAGAAUUAACUUGUUAGUUCUUUCUUAUGUAAAAGUGGAGAGGUAAAAUGAGAAAAGAACAUUUUGGAAAAAGAGGUGUUAAAAAGUAAUAUCAAGGUUUAAGAAAUAUAUUUGAAAUAAAUUGAAAUGAAUCGAGAAGAUACUUAGAUGAAAAAUAACAUUACUUAAUGGAUAAGAUAGGAUGUUGAAUGUUAAAAGUGAAUAUAUAAUUACUGUCAUAUUUGCAUGCAAAAAGAGUGACUCGGAAUUAUGUUGUACACUGAAAAGAGCUUUUUUAUGUUGUUUUGGAAAAAUUGAAUAAAACUUGUUAUUAAAAAAAA
rnacentral:lncRNA from 1 species